GAUGAACGCUGGCGGCGUGCUUAACACAUGCAAGUCGAACGGGAUCCCAGGGGUGCUUGUACUUUUUGGUGAGAGUGGCGAACGUGUGAGUAACACGUGAGUAACCUGUCCUUUUCUUGGGGAUAAACAUUCGGAAGGAUGUUUAAUACCUUAUGUUCUUUCUGCCUGGCGUGGGGUGGACGGGAAAGGCUUUGGCCGGACUUGGGUGGGCUCGCGGGCUAUUGGCGUGUUGGCGGGGUGAUGGCGUACCAUGGCUUUGGCGGGUAGACGGCCGGAGGGGGUGGUCGGUCUGAGUGGGACUGAGGUACGGUCCAGACUGCUGCGGGGGGCAGCAGUGGGCGAUGUUGGAAAAUGGGCGACAGCCUGAUGCAGCGACGGCGCGUGGCGGAUGAAGGCCUAAGGGUUGUUGGCUUCUUUUACUCUGAACGUGGCAUGCCAGUGGGUGUGUUGCGGUAAGGGGUUGAUAAGCGCCGGCUAACUACGUG
rnacentral:rRNA from 1 species